rnacentral:lncRNA from 1 species
GACUUUAUUUACUUUUGUUUUAAUUAGUUAUACAUGACAGUAAAAUGCACCCUAACACAUCACACAUAGAUGGAGUAUAAUUUCUCAUCCUUCUGGUUGUACAUGAUGUAGAAUCCCACUGGUCAUAUAGUCAUAUGUGUACAUAGGGCAAUAAUGUCUGAUUCAUUCUGCUAUCCUUCCUACCCCCAAACCCCGUAUUUAUUAACUUUGUUUUUAUUUUGUAUAUCAUAUAAUUAAUAUUACAAAUAAGAAUAAUAUGUAGAUUUUUCUUUCAUAUUUUAUUGUAAAAUAUAAUACAUAUAAGUAAAUAAAAUAUGAACAUAAUAAUCUAUUACAAAUAAUUCUAAUCAUUCUGUUUUAUUCCUAAUGAUGAUUAUUUGUGCCCCCUCCCUUUACUCUUGAUUAGUCUUGUCAGGAUUGCAUUAAUUUUGUUUUGUCCCCAAACUAGCUUUUAGUUUCUUUAAUACUUUAUAUAUUGUGUAUUUUUUUCAUUUUAUUAUUUCUGCUCUUUUUACUAUUAUUUACUAAUUUCUUUCUACACAGCAAUUUUUCUAGCUUUUUGAGAAUUCUCACUUCCUUAAGUUUUACCUCCUUCCUGUAUUUUCAUUUAUUUUACUAAAUGUUUG